rnacentral:rRNA from 1 species
AACAAACGCUGGAGGCGUGCCUAAUACAUGCAAGUCGAACGGGGAAAGCUUUCGGGUGAGUACUAGUGGCGCACGGGUGAGUAACGCGUGGAUAAUCUGCCUUGAAGAGGGGGAUAACCAGUCGAAAGAUUGGCUAAUACCGCAUAAGACCACAGGAACUGAGGUUCUAGAGGUCAAAGGUUUUUCGCUUCAAGAUGAGUCCGCGUAAGAUUAGCUAGUUGGUGAGGUAACGGCUCACCAAGGCGACGAUCUUUAGCUGGUCUGAGAGGAUGAUCAGUCACACUGGAACUGAGACACGGUCCAGACUCCUACGGGAGGCAGCAGUAGGGAAUAUUGCACAAUGGAGGAAACUCUGAUGCAGCGACGCCGCGUGAGUGAUGAAGGCCUUCGGGUCGUAAAGCUCUGUCGCAGGGGAAUAACACAAUGAAGGUACCCUGUAAGAAAGGAUCGGCUAACUUCGUGCCAGCCGCCGCAGUAAUAC